GGUUUCCUUUCUAAGUGACCCUUCAGUACCUUGGUUUCCGAAUUUUUGUACAAGUUAACUCACCACAAGGCCACACUGAUUGUUCAUCAGAAAGCCUCGGUGUUAUAUUGAAGUUUCCAUCAUGCAUGUACGAACAAGUUUUGUCGCAUUAUACUGUUUGUAUAAACUACUGUACUUCUCAGCUGCUUGAGAGAUGAAGUCUUUUGUAUAAGACGAAACGCGUUGUCUGUGUUGUGAAGCUAUCUCCGAACCAACUAUAAGGAGAAGGAGGAGAUUGUUGUGAUCCUUCAACAUUUGUAUUCAGCGCUAAGAGUCAUACAUCUUAAAGUGUGGAAUAAUAUAUCUCCUCUGUAUUAAUUUGAAUAUGUUUUUAAUAAAUGUUUUAUGAUGGAA